GUAGUCCACGCCCUAAACGAUGUCGACUAGCCGUUGGGCUCAUAAAAGAGCUUAGUGGCGCAGUUAACGCGAUAAGUCGACCGCCUGGGGAGUACGGCCGCAAGGCUAAAACUCAAAUGAAUUGACGGGGGCCCGCACAAGCGGUGGAGCAUGUGGUUUAAUUCGAUGCAACGCGAAGAACCUUACCUGGCCUUGACAUCCUGCGAACUUUCUAGAGAUAGAUUGGUGCCUUCGGGAGCGCAGAGACAGGUGCUGCAUGGCUGUCGUCAGCUCGUGUCGUGAGAUGUUGGGUUAAGUCCCGUAACGAGCGCAACCCUUGUCCUUAGUUGCCAGCGCGUAAUGGCGGGAACUCUAAGGAGACUGCCGGUGACAAACCGGA
rnacentral:rRNA from 1 species